rnacentral:rRNA from 1 species
AACGCGAAGAACCUUACCUGGUCUUGACAUCCACAGAACUUUCCAGAGAUGGAUUGGUGCCUUCGGGAACUGUGAGACAGGUGCUGCAUGGCUGUCGUCAGCUCGUGUUGUGAAAUGUUGGGUUAAGUCCCGCAACGAGCGCAACCCUUAUCCUUUGUUGCCAGCGGUCCGGCCGGGAACUCAAAGGAGACUGCCAGUGAUAAACUGGAGGAAGGUGGGGAUGACGUCAAGUCAUCAUGGCCCUUACGACCAGGGCUACACACGUGCUACAAUGGCAUAUACAAAGAGAAGCGACCUCGCGAGAGCAAGCGGACCUCAUAAAGUAUGUCGUAGUCCGGAUUGGAGUCUGCAACUCGACUCCAUGAAGUCGGAAUCGCUAGUAAUCGUAGAUCAGAAUGCUACGGUGGAAAUACGUUCCC